CACUGGGUGUUGGAAAAGAAAAGGCUGAAUUAUUGGAUUAUUCCUGUAGCUGUGCAGCUGGUAAAGGUGUUUGCAAUCACGUAGUUGCACUUCUUUACCAGACAGCACACCAGUCCCAACUCCAGGUGCCAAAUGUUCCUCCUGCACAGACCAAGAACACAGGGGAAACAUCCUGAACCUGUCAGCGACAUGGUGGUGCAGAAGCCUAAAACUAUGGGGAAAAGAUAUCUGCACUCCACACUUUACAGAGCUUACACAGAUCCUGACAUCAGGAGAAAAAUUACACCUGCUGGAGUCCCAACCACUUAUGGCUCUUGUCCU